rfam:Treponema maltophilum ATCC 51939 genomic scaffold aczIZ-supercont-complete, whole genome shotgun sequence.
UUUUAUCUCGAGUUUGCGUUGCAAACUCGAUUAUUUAUUGCGCUUUCUCAACUAACGUUUGCGAAAGCGCGGCUAAAAACUUUUUCGGAAGUUGCAACUUCCUGCAAAAGUUUUUAUAGGA